UGGGAGUGUAGCAGUGAGGACGAACAGAGGUCACUCUCAUGGCCAUCUUGGUUUUGUUUACUUCCUGAAGCGAGCACCUGGGCCUCACACUCCUGAGGAUGGGGGAGAUCCGGCGCCACCUCCUGGCUGUUUCCAAGGCGGAGAGAAGGAGCCCGGGGCUGCAAAACCUGUCAGAGGAUCCCAGACUGAGGCGGACUCAGGGAGGUUUCCCACGCCUAAGAUUUCAUCCCUAACCAAUCAGCGAUCACCACUCCAAAACCCUUGAAAGCCCCCCCCAACUCCUCAGCGAGAUUGAGUGAUAACUCAAUCUCCAGGGUGGCCGGCCUCGGGUCAUAAACUAUUUCUUUACUGCAAUAAUAAUGAUACAAUAAAAUAAAUUUACAUACAUCUCAAGGAGACAGAGGUAGCGUUUACAAUUUCAGCUUUAUUAAAGGAAGUAGGAAGUGGGAGGGGGUGCCUUAUUCCCUUUCUUUGCACCGGAAAAAAUACAAUUUUUUUCUCUAGAUUUGUGUUUACCAACAACACACACACAUACUCAUAUACACACAUAUGUACAUAUACCCCAUUCACACACAGAUAUACACAAUAUAUGUACACUCAUGAAC
rnacentral:lncRNA from 10 species